AUUGAACGCUGGCGGCAUGCCUUACACAUGCAAGUCGAGCGGCAGCGCGGGGCAACCUGGCGGCGAGCGGCGAACGGGUGAGUAAUACAUCGGAACGUGCCCAGACGUGGGGGAUAACUACUCGAAAGAGUGGCUAAUACCGCAUACGAUCUAAGGAUGAAAGCGGGGGAUCGCAAGACCUCGCGCGUUUGGAGCGGCCGAUGGCAGAUUAGGUAGUUGGUGGGGUAAAGGCUUACCAAGCCCGCGAUCUGUAGCUGGUCUGAGAGGAUGACCAGCCACACUGGAACUGAGACACGGUCCAGACUCCUACGGGAGGCAGCAGUGGGGAAUUUUGGACAAUGGGCGCAAGCCUGAUCCAGCCAUUCCGCGUGCAGGAUGAAGGCCUUCGGGUUGUAAAGCUCUUUCGGCCGGGAAGAAAUCGCACAGGCUAAUACCCUGUGUGGAUGACGGUACCGGAAUAAGAAGCACCGGCUAACUACGUG
rnacentral:rRNA from 1 species